rnacentral:misc_RNA from 1 species
UUAUUUUUUAAUUUUGGGUGGAAUGUUUACAAAAACUUCUUCGAUCGAACACAUACUAGAGAGAUUCAAAGCUCUCCUUCGUAGAUUCGUGUAUUGUACAGAUUUGUAGAGAACGAGAGAGAGAGGAGAACAAAAUGGUAGGCGAAGAGGAGACGAAGAAGAGAGUAGUCACUGAAUCGCUAGGAUGGUUAACGGAAUCUUCGAUUAUGCCAAAGAAGCAUCGCGCCAUCGAAGGUGUUGGUCCUUCCUCAAUCAUGGAGCUUAAAGCUCAGCUCUAUAAGUCUCAGGAGGAAGCUAAACAGACAAAGGAUUUUACGGGAUCCGAUGCUCAAUACCAUCGCGCCAAAGAAAGGAUUGCCGCCAAAGAUUCUUUCGCCGCGAAAAACUCCGGCGUCGAAAGUCGCAAUUUAAAGGACAAGCUUGAGCACAAAGCUGUAAAAGAUGGAGCAGUUAGUUAUGCCGCAUUGGAGAAAAAGGCUCAGUUGUAUGAUAAACUUGCUAGAGGAGAGCUUUCUGAUGAAGAAGGUGAAGAGAAGUACUGUGUUGACUUCUUUAGGAAAGGAAUUCAACAUGAAGAUCCAAAACCAUCAAGCACUUACAACAGUUCCAUUUCAGCACCACCUGAAGAUUUCAAGCAAGAUGGUGAAGAUGAUGGUUCGCUUUUUAGCACCAAAUUUGCUGGACUUGGACAUGCAAUUGGGACAGCUGAUGUAGGUCAACACGUGCGCAUGGUCAGGGAGGUUCAUGAGGAAGUCAAUCAAGCGAGAGAAAAGGCAACCGAGUUAAAGCAAAGGAGACAAGAGCAAGCAACAAAUCGUCGGGAGAAACUCAAACAAGCUUAUCUUCGGAAGCAGCUCGAGAAACUAAAGGCUCAACAACAACAACAAGAAGAUGAACAAAAAACUUGAUUUUUCGCUUCGCCAAGCUAUUGGAUUUUGAGUUGCGGCCUGAACGCAGAGAAGACAAUGACAGAGUUGUCCACCGAACCCGAAUGAGUAAUAUGGCUGCAACAAGAACACGUAAGCCAUCAUUAAGGGAUGAAGCUGUAUCCAUAUGCUCUUAAAAGCGAUUUAUGUACUGUGGAUUGUUGUCAAUCAACAGAUUCUAUACAAAGUUACCAAUAGAUAAUCCUUAUAACAAAUUUGUUGCAUCCACUUAGACAUGGCAAGUAUUUUCCCACAGAUUUUAAAUUGCUUAGUAAUAAUAAUAAGACUUGGC